rnacentral:rRNA from 1 species
ACCUAUAGAAAAAGCACCGGCUAACUCCGUGCCAGCAGCCGCGGUAAUACGGAGGGUGCAAGCGUUAAUCGGAAUUACUGGGCGUAAAGCGUGCGUAAGCGGCUGCUUAAGUCAGAUGUGAAAGCCCCGGGCUUAACCUGGGAACGGCAUUUGAUACUGGGCAGCUCGAGUUGAGUAGAGGAGAGGGGAAUCUCCGGUGUAGCGGUGAAAUGCGUAGAGAUCGGAAGGAACACCAGUGGCGAAGGCGCCUCUCCGGACUCAAACUGACGCUGAGGUACGAAAGCGUGGGUAGCAAACAGGAUUAGAUACCCUGGUAGUCCACGCCGUAAACGAUGUCAACUAGCCGUUGGUCUUAUUCGUAAGAUUCGUGGCGCAGCUAACGCGAUAAGUUGACCGCCUGGGGAGUACGGCCGCNAGGUUAAAACUCAAAUGAAUUUGACGGGGGCCCCGCACAAAGCNGUGGACCAUGUGGGUUUAAUCCCAUGCAACC